UACGUAGGGGGCUAGCGUUGUCCGGAAUCAUUGGGCGUAAAGAGCGCGUAGGCGGCCAGAUAAGUCCGGUGUGAAAGUCACAGGCUCAACCUGUGAAUGCCGCUGGAAACUGUCUGGCUUGAGUCCGGGAGGGGCGAGUGGAAUUCCUGGUGUAGCGGUGAAAUUCGUAGAUAUCGGGAGGAACACCAGUGGCGAAGGCGGCUUUCUGGCCCGUUCUUGACGCUGAGGCGCGAAAGCUAGGGUAGCAAACGGG
rnacentral:rRNA from 1 species